CUUGCAGCCACCAACUCCACACACCUGAUCUUGCAAAUACCUCUGUUUGCUGGGGGACUCAUCUAUGAGGAAGUGUCCUUUCAGAAAAUCAAAGCAAGGUUUGAUGUUGCCUUAAGGAAAGUGAGAACUAUGGAGACCUUACAGAUGUUCUCCAUUAGCUGCAGUUUUAAUUCUUCAGCAUUUAUAAUAUGCCACCCAGAUGGUACCAUAAUGGUAUCUGCCCAAAUGAAGACAGUUCCUGCCAUUGACAUGAGUAAAACCAAGCUCAGGGACAGCUCCUGCAAGCCUAAGGAGUAUAAUGAAG